rnacentral:rRNA from 1 species
GAGUUUGAUCAUGGCUCAGAUUGAACGCUGGCGGCAGGCCUAACACAUGCAAGUCGAGCGGUAACAGAGAGAAGCUUGCUUCUUUGCUGACGAGCGGCGGACGGGUGAGUAAUACUUGGGAACUUGCCUCUAGGCGGGGGAAUAAUUAAAGGAUAACGGUGGCUAAUACCGCAUAAUGUCUACGGACCAAAGUGGGGGACCUUCGGGCCUCACACCUAGAGAUGGGCCCAAGCGGGAUUAGCUAGUUGGUAAGGUAACGGCUUACCAAGGCGACGAUCCCUAGCUGUUCUGAGAGGAUGAUCAGCCACACUGGGACUGAGACACGGCCCAGACUCCUACGGGAAGGCAGCAGUGGGGAUUUUGGAACAUGGGGGCAACCCCUGAUCCAGCCAUGCCGCGUGUGUGAAGAAAGGCCCUCCGGGUGGAAAGCCACUUCCGUGGUGGAGGAAAGGGGAAAGUUUAAAAGCCUUUCACAGUGGACUUUAGCCCCAGAAAAAACCCCGGUUAAUUCGUGCCGCAGCGCGGUUACCCGAGGUGCAGCCUUAUACGGAUUUUGGGCUA